UGGGGAAUAUUGCACAAUGGGCGCAAGCCUGAUGCAGCCAUGCCGCGUGUAUGAAGAAGGCCUUCGGGUUGUAAAGUACUUUCAGCGAGGAGGAAGGCGUUGUGGUUAAUAACCGCAACGAUUGACGUUACUCGCAGAAGAAGCACCGGCUAACUCCGUGCCAGCAGCCGCGGUAAUACGGAGGGUGCAAGCGUUAAUCGGAAUUACUGGGCGUAAAGCGCACGCCGGCGGUCUGUCAAGUCGCAUGUGAAAUCCCCGGGCUCAACCUGGGAACUGCAUCCGAAACUGGCAGGCUAGAGUCUUGUAGAGGGGGGUAGAAUUCCAGGUGUAGCGGUGAAAUGCGUAGAGAUCUGGAGGAAUACCGGUGGCGAAGGCGGCCCCCUGGACAAAGACUGACGCUCAGGUGCGAAAGCGUGGGGAGCAAACA
rnacentral:rRNA from 1 species